rnacentral:rRNA from 1 species
AGUGAACGCUGGCGGUAGGCCUAACACAUGCAAGUCGAACGGCAGCACAGUAAGAGCUUGCUCUUACGGGUGGCGAGUGGCGGACGGGUGAGGAAUACAUCGGAAUCUACUUUUUCGUGGGGGAUAACGUAGGGAAACUUACGCUAAUACCGCAUACGACCUACGGGUGAAAGCAGGGGAUCUUCGGACCUUGCGCGAUUGAAUGAGCCGAUGUCGGAUUAGCUAGUUGGCGGGGUAAAGGCCCACCAAGGCGACGAUCCGUAGCUGGUCUGAGAGGAUGAUCAGCGACAAUGGAACUGAGACACGGUCCAGACUCCUACGGGAGGCAGCAGUGGGGAAUAUUGGACAAUGGGCGCAAGCCUGAUCCAGCCAUACCGCGUGGGUGAAGAAGGCCUUCGGGUUGUAAAGCCCUUUUGUUGGGAAAGAAAAGCAGCAGGUUAAUACCCCGCUGUUCUGACGGUACCCAAAGAAUAAGCACCGGCUAACUUCGUG